CUCCAUCUACCCCACCACUAUACUGUCUCAACAACCCGAAAUCCCUUUUCCUUGUCAACUAGCAGACGGCUGUGAGAAAGGAGGCAACUAGCAGCAAAUGAAUAUUUCUUGAUUUCUUAACACAUCUUCCACCAUAAUCAGAGGUAGUGUAAACUAGCGUUGCCUCUUUCUUCGACAGUAGAAGCGAAGUGGUAGUCUAUAUGACUCUUGAUCGCCAAUGACAAAAUAUACAGAUAGCAGCAGAUCUCGAAGACAUCAGCCCAUUCACAUCUCCCACAACUUGUAGCUAGUGGAAGACAGCAUUUUUCCCUUUCUGCUGCCAAAGAACACCAUUUUGACACAAGCAUAGAAGAAACGACCCUAGUCGUGUAAUAGUAACAUUGGUGCCAGCUAUAAACAAACCUCCUCCACAAUCACACCACUCUUCAACUGUGCGAGUGGACGGCACCAUGGAUCUAUUAUUUUCUCUGAUACAAGCUUUUCGGUUGAAGACGGUCUUUUCCUGAACUUGGGUACACCUUGUGGUUUAUCUAACUGAUUUUUUUUUCGUAUCUUACUACAGACGUCGCCCCAUGUCGCCAUACGGGGGACAUGGGACGUAAAAAUGGGAUCCUAUCAACUUGUUCUGACUUAGGAUAAUAAGCUCAUGAGCUUGGUCUUACUUCAACAUCGAGAAACGAAAGAAGACUGUCAUCUGAACUCGUCUAGCUUCAAUGCCCCUCACGUUCGGAGUUAGACUGGGGCCCGUAAGAAUGUACAAUGAAAUUUGUACGAAACGAAGAUAUUUUGUUGCUUGCAGGAUGGUCAUUCUCGAAAGGACACCGGAAUGGGAAGUGUUUCAUGAAACACGGCUGGAAGACACUAAUUUACUUGUUCAAUUCCAACUCCGGCCACAAUUGGAAUAAGCAACAACUAAAAAAUUGAUGGGAUGCUCUCCGCCUAAAACACAAAAGAUUCGAGGAAUUGUUGAAUUGCAGUAGUAUUGCAUACAACCCAUCAACUGGCAGAAUUUGUGCUUAUGGGGAGUGGUGGGCUCGAAAGAUCAAGGUACCAUCGUUUCAUGACCAAUCGUUUACUUGUGUGUGAGAUGAAAUAUUACUUUUGGUCGUGUCAUUGGAUUCAUUAGAGAUUUUGAUUUAUUUCAUUAUUAGAGUAGUUGGUCAUUUUUCGUUUCAGGGAAUGCGUUUGGAUUGCUAUAUGAUCAUAUUACUCGGUGUUGUACUGUUCAGGAGAGGAAAAAGUUCAUUGUUGUAUCAUUGAUCUUAUGCUCAUGUAUUUGAAAAAGUGCCGAGGUUUCCUAUUUUGAGGGGUUUUGAUAGAGUGGGAGUUAGAUCGGAUGGAAUUACUACAACUCCCUAUUGUCCUAAUUUUUUUUUUUCAGGAUUUACGCUAAAAUUUGCUUAUGUUUUCAUAUAUUAACUUCAUUUGCAUUUCUGUGUAACGUAUGUGACAACCUCUCCAUUUUAUUGGCAUAGGAGAACAAAGACUACAAAGAAUUUAAGGACAAAGACUGUCGAGUGGUGUACGGUUACAAGGCUCUAUUCGGCGACACGUUAGACAGUGAUAAGUAUGUAGUCACACCAACAAAGCUCUGUCGAACUAGCGUCGCGAUGUUUGAAGAUAGUAGAUAUGAAGACCAUGUGACAAGGUAUCAGCUGAUGUCGAUAGCAGCUGUUCAAGUGACGAGCCUGAAAAAAGAUAUGGCUAAAGCAAGCAUGGAUGUGUCGAUCCCGUACAACGGAGACAAAUGAAAAGCAGAUACCAGGAAGAAAAAUGAGGAGAAGAAAAAUUUCACUCUUGAUCUUUCCUACUUAGUUAAUCACGCACAAUGGCCGGUGAGAGGGACGCUACCAAAAUCGACAACUUCGUCAGACCUGUUGUGCCGUACCCAAAGACAUGUAUGAAAGAGUUAUUAGUGACUGGUAGACUGAAAAACAAACUGAUCUCUACUUAUGAAUGUGUACCUUCUUAUCUCGAAAGCGCAAAUGGGAGAUAUUGGACAUGUAGGACGAUGCGAAUGAAAAAUUUAAGUGGGUCGAGUGGAAUGACAGGAUUACCGAAAAGCAUAGUAGCGAUAAGAGCUUAGUGUGACAUUCGAAAUGGAGCCCCGUGAAAUUUGUUCCAUGAGAAAACAUUUGGUGGAAUUUCGUUAUGUUUUAAUUUUGUAUGUUUGAUAGACUGCUUCAUGCUAUGUAUAUGGUAGUGCUAAACACUUUGGUUCGCAUAUAUUGUCACCAUGCUUGCCUUCAAAGACUUUGAUUUGCAUAGAUUUUCACCCUACUUCCCUGCAAAAGAUGUAGUUGGAUGUUCGUAAAUAUUUUCAACCAAGUACUCUAUAGAACACUUACACUUCAC
rnacentral:lncRNA from 1 species